rnacentral:rRNA from 1 species
AUUGAACGCUGGCGGCAGGCCUAACACAUGCAAGUCGAGCGGUAGCACAGAGAGCUUGCUCUCGGGUGACGAGCGGCGGACGGGUGAGUAAUGUCUGGGAAACUGCCUGAUGGAGGGGGAUAACUACUGGAAACGGUAGCUAAUACCGCAUAACGUCGCAAGACCAAAGUGGGGGACCUUCGGGCCUCAUGCCAUCAGAUGUGCCCAGAUGGGAUUAGCUAGUAGGUGGGGUAACGGCUCACCUAGGCGCCGUACCCUAGCUGGUCUGAGAGGAUGACCAGCCAAACUGGAACUGAGACACGGUCCAGAGUCCUACGGGAGGCAGCAGUGGGGAAUAUUGCACAAGGGGCGCAAGCCUGCUGCAGCCAUGCGGCGGGUGUGAAGAAGGCCUUCGGGUUGUAAAGCACUUUCAGCGGGGAGGAAGGCGGUGAGGUUAAUAACCUCACCGAUUGACGUUACCCGCAGAAGAAGCACCGGCUAACUCCGUGCCAGCCGCCGCAGUAA